AUCGAUCGAAACCAAAUUUGGGGAUUCAAAUCCCCCAAUUCGAUCUCCAAAUGCGAGCUGGAUUCGAUAAAAUAUGUCGAACCACUCCGAUGGGAACAGCCAGCAAGGACGCGAACAGUGGAAAACCUCUGAUGCUGCUGGUGGGCCCGGCGCUGCUCGGCCGUCGGAUCCCGAUCGGACGGACGAGGAUAUCAUCGGCUGAGAUGCUGCCGAUCGAUGAGGAAAUUGAUUAGCACUGCAAAUUACUAGUAAUUACCUCUCGAAGAAUUAGUAGUAGGAAUUUUGUUGGUGAUAGAUUUGAGUUGAUGUUUGAACAUAAAGAGUAUGGAGAUGAAAAAAAAAAUGUGAAUAGAAAUUCUCCGGCGCUUGAUUUCUCCACGUGUUUGUCUCAACCUCUCAAAAUACUGGUCCAUACCUAGCAAUACUCCACUUUGUAUGCUUUUUUUUGAAACCCAAUAAUUUGUAUGCUGAACAAAC
rnacentral:sRNA from 1 species